CCUACGGGAGGCAGCAGUGAGGCAUAUUGGUCAAUGGGCGCAAGCCUGAACCAGCCAAGUCGCGUGAGGGAUGACGGUCCUAUGGAUUGUAAACCUCUUUUGUCGGGGAGCAAGGCCCGACAUGUGUGGCGGGAAGGAGAGUACCCGAAGAAAAAGCAUCGGCUAACCCCGUGCCAGCAGCCGCGGUAAUACGGAGGAUGCGAGCGUUAUCCGGAUUUAUUGGGUUUAAAGGGUGCGUAGGCGGAAGGUUAAGUCAGCGGUAAAAUGUCGGUGCUCAACACCGGCCUGCCGUUGAAACUGGUCUUCUUGAGUGAGCGAGAAGUAUGCGGAAUGCGUGGUGUAGCGGUGAAAUGCAUAGAUAUCACGCAGAACUCCGAUUGCGAAGGCAGCAUACCGGCGCUCAACUGACGCUGAGGCACGAAAGCGUGGGGAUCGAACAGGAUUAGAUACCCUGGUAGUC
rnacentral:rRNA from 1 species